rnacentral:rRNA from 1 species
UACCGGCGCUCCGAGUGGCGACCACGUUUAUUGGGUCUAAAGCGUCCGUAGCCGGCUUGGCAAGUCCCCUGGGAAAUCUGGCGGCUUAACCGUCAGGCGUCCAGAGGAUACUGCCAGGCUUGGGACCGGGAGAGGUGAGAGGUACCUCAGGGGUAGGGGUGAAAUCUUGUGAUCCCUGAGGGACCACCAGUGGCGAAGGCGUCUCACUAGAACGGGUCCGACGCUCAUGCACGAAAGCGUGGGGAGCAAACAGG